CUUCUAGUAUAAGUAUAUCCCGUGCCCCAUUUGGGAUAUACUUAUACUAAAA
rnacentral:pre_miRNA from 1 species